rnacentral:rRNA from 1 species
UGAGGAAUAUUGGUCAAUGGGCGGGAGCCUGAACCAGCCAAGCCGCGUGAGGGAAGAAGGCCCUAUGGGUCGUAAACCUCUUUUGUCAGGGAACAAAAGCGAGUAUGUAUACUGGUCUGAGUGUACCUGAAGAAAAAAGGCAUCGGCUAACUCCGUGCCAGCAGCCGCGGUAAUACGGAGGAUGCGAGCGUUAUCCGGAUUUAUUGGGUUUAAAGGGUGCGUAGGCGGCGGUGCAAGUCAGCGGUAAAAGCCCGGGGCUCAACCCCGGCGAGCCGUUGAAACUGCAGUGCUAGAGAAGGCGAGAGGUACGCGGAAUGCGCAGUGUAGCGGUGAAAUGCUUAGAUAUUGCGCAGAACUCCGAUUGCGAAGGCAGCGUACUGGCGCCUGACUGACGCUGAGGCACGAAAGCGUGGGGAUCGAACAGGAUUAGAUACC